CGGGUUGUUUGGGAAUGCAGCC
rnacentral:snRNA from 1 species